CAGUCUAUGGUUUAUUAUCUAUAUCUGUGUAUAUGUCUCAAUUACAUAUCUGUAAUCUUUUUAUCAUUUUCUAUUUUCAAUCUAUGAAUUUUUCUGUACAUAGUGGUAUUUUUUAAAUAGUUAUCAAAUAAGAAAUAAUAAAGAUGAUUGAUUAUUUUAAAGAUGCGCAAUUGUUAUCUUGUGACUAAGUGUAUCUAAUCGUGAUCUAGUCUGUUCUUUUAUGCAUUAAAUAAAUUCAUUUCCUUAGAAUAUUAUUGAUUAUACCCCUUAAUAUUAUGGUAGACAGGACAGGAAAACUUUCAAAGCCUGACGCAAUAUCAUAGAUACUUCAGUUUGCUCUCACCAAACUGAUUUCUUUCAACGAUAUGUCAAAAGAUCACAAAUCGUAUCUAGUGAAGACUUUACCCUAAAACAUUGAAGGUAAACAACUCAUCAAUGGGAAACAUAUCCAAAAAAAUUACAAUUUUAGAAAUCGAGAGAAUUAAAAAUUUAAAAAUGCAUAUUGAAAAAAAAAAUGGUAACACAGUGGAGUCACGGCACAGAAAAGACAUUGAGAUAGUUGGAACAAAUAUAGAUGAUAUCUGACAGUAAUUAAAAUCACUAUCAUAAGAAACGCUUC